GGGGCUGUCGCUCAGUGGUAGAGUACUCGUCUUGCAUGUGUGAGGCACUGGGUUCAAUCCUCAGCUCCA
rnacentral:tRNA from 1 species